AUACUUACCUGGCAAGAGAUACCAUGAUCAAGAAGGUGGCUCUCCCAGGGCGAGGCUUAUCCAUUGCACUCCAGAGGUGCUGACUCCUGCGAUUUCUCCAAAUGCGGGAAACUGGACUGCAUAAUUUGUGGUAGUGGGGGACUGCGUUUGCGCUCUCCCCUG
rnacentral:snRNA from 1 species